AACGAACGCUGGCGGCAUGCCUAACACAUGCAAGUCGAACGAGACCUUCGGGUCUAGUGGCGCACGGGUGCGUAACGCGUGGGAACCUGCCCUUAGGUUCGGAAUAACUCCCCGAAAGGGGUGCUAAUACCGGAUAAUGUCUUCGGACCAAAGAUUUAUCGCCUUUGGAUGGGCCCGCGUUGGAUUAGCUAGUUGGUAGGGUAAAAGCCUACCAAGGCGACAAUCCAUAGCUGGUCUGAGAGGAUGAUCAGCCACACUGGGACUGAGACACGGCCCAGACUCCUACGGGAGGGAGCAGUGGGGAAUAUUGGACAAUGGGCGAAAGCAUGAACGAGCAAUGCCGCGUGAGUGAUGAAGGCAUUAGGGUUGUAAAGCUCUUUUAACCGGGAUGAUAAUGACAGUACCGGGAGAAUAAGCACCGGCUAACUCCGUG
rnacentral:rRNA from 1 species